CCGAAAGGCGUAGUCGAUGGACAGCGCGUUAAUAUUCGUGCACCACUCCUAGUGAGUUUGAUGGACAGGGGUGACGGAGACUGAAAGGUCAUCGGGGCGUUGAUUGUCCCCGUCUCUGGCCCGAGGGAGGCUGUAGGUAAAUCCGCAGCGGAAUCCCGGAGGUUGGGGCAGGACCACUUGAGUCUGAAGUGAUCGGAAAGUCUUCCAAGAAAAACCUCGGUUCUAUUGCCAGGAGUGACCGUACUAAAACUGACACAGGUAGGCGAGGUGAGUAUCCUAAGGCGCUCGAGAGAACCUUCGUUAAGGAACUAGGCAAAAUGACUCCGUAACUUCGGGAGAAGGAGUGCCACUGUAGAGUGAUCCAGUUUCCUGGAGAGCUCGAAGUGGUCGCAGUGAAAAGGGUCUAGCGACUGUUUACUAAAAACACAGGACUGUGCUAAGACGCAAGUCGAUGUAUACAGUCUGACGCCUGCUCGGUGCCGGAAGGUUAAGGGGACGGGUUAUCCCUUCGGGGAGAAGCUCAGAACUGAAGCCCCGGUUAACGGCGGCCGUAACUAUGACGGUCCUAAGGUAGCGAAGUUCCUUGUCGGGUAAGUUCCGACCCGCACGAAUGGCGUAACGACUGGACCGGUGUCUCAACGAAGGACUCGGCGAAAUUGUAGUUGUGGUGCAGAUGCCACAUACCCGCGGCUAGACGGAAAGACCCCGUGAACCUUUACUAUAGCCUAUUAUUGGGUUUGGGUAAUGCAUGUGUAGGAUAGGUGGGAGGCGUUGAAGCGAGAUCGCCAGAUCUUGUGGAGCCAUCCUUGAAAUACCACCCUUGUAUUAUUUAAAUUCUAACCAGGUUCCGUGAAUCCGGGCUUGGAACAGUGGUAGGUGGGUAGUUUGGCUGGGGCGGUCUCCUCCCAAAGAGUAACGGAGGAGCCCAAAGGCUUCCUCAAUGCGGUUGGCAAUCGCAUGUAGAGCGCAAGGGUAAAAGGAAGCUUAACUGCGAGACCCAUAAGUCGAGCAGAUGUGAAAGCAGGGCCUAAUGAUCCGGCGUAUUCCGGGUGGAAGGGACGUCGCUCAUCAGAUAAAAGGUACUCCGGGGAUAACAGGCUGAUCUC
rnacentral:rRNA from 1 species